GUCCGAGUGGCGCAGUGGUAGCGCGCGGGGCCCAUAUAUAGAGUAGUAGUCAUAGAACCCCGAGGUCACUUGAUCGAAACAAGUUGCUGCUA